UGUAAUGAAGCUUUAUAGUAAGGACUAUCAACAUGAUAUCAAUGAUUAGUGAAGAAGGCGAGACAUUACAGUGUGUGCACUCUUGUUAUACAUUUCCACAUGUACAUAAUAAUUUUCAUAAAUCAAAUCCUAACCAAUAUUAUCCAGGAUACAUCAAUCUUUUGUCAAAAAUGUAGAUAUCUAAACAGUCCAAGAAAUCCUAAUUAUUUGCAAUACCAAAAUAAAGUCCUGACAGGUGAUCGAAACAUUAUAGAGAAUACAGCUAUGUAGAUUUCAUAUUUAGUUCUGUUUUAUUUUGGCAUUGUCUUAAUUCAGAAAUGACCACAUUUGUGCAUUCAAAAUGUAUAUGUGGUUGAAAUUUUAUUCAAGUCAACAUGAGUUAGAACUAGAGUAUUAAUUUUCUAUAUAAAAUACAAUAUAU
rnacentral:lncRNA from 1 species